rnacentral:rRNA from 1 species
UGCCAGACUCCUACGGGAGGCAGCAGUGGGGAAUAUUGCACAAUGGGCGCAAGCCUGAUGCAGCGACGCCGCGUGCGGGAUGGAGGCCUUCGGGUUGUAAACCGCUUUUGUUCAAGGGCAAGGCAUGGUCUUUGGCCGUGUUGAGUGGAUUGUUCGAAUAAGCACCGGCUAACUACGUGCCAGCAGCCGCGGUCAUACGUAGGAUCCGAGCAUUAUCCGGAGUGACUGGGUGUAAAGAGUUGCGUAGGUGGCAUAAUAAGUAGCUAGUGAAAUCUGGUGGCUCAACCAUUCAGACUAUUAGCUAAACUGUUAAGCUCGAGACCGUUAGGGGUAACUGGAAUUUCUAGUGUAGGGUUGAAAUCCGUAGAUAUUAGAAGGAACACCAAUAGCGUAGGCAGGUUACUGGGACGGUUCUGACACUAAGGCACGAAAGCGUAGGGAGCAAACGGGAUUAGAUACCCCAGUAGUG